rnacentral:rRNA from 1 species
CGUAGGUGGCUAAGCGUUGUCCGGAUUUAUUGGGUUUAAAGGGUGCGUAGGCGGUCUAUUAAGUCAGUGGUGAAAUAUCGCAGCUUAACUGUGAGGGUGCCAUUGAUACUGAUGGACUUGAGUGAAGUCGAAGUAGGCGGAAUUGACGGUGUAGCGGUGAAAUGCUUAGAUAUCGUCAAGAACACCGAUAGUGAAGACAGCUUACUAGGCUUAUACUGACGCUGAGGCACGAAAGUGUGGGGAUCAAACAGGAUUAGAUACCCUGGUAGUCCACACUGUAAACGUUGAUGACUCGCUGUUGGCGAUAUACAGCCAGCGGCCAAGCGCAAGCGAUAAGUCAUCCACCUGGGGAGUACGCCGGCAACGGUG